UACGUAGGGUGCAAGCGUUAAUCGGAAUUACUGGGCGUAAAGCGUGCGCAGGCGGUCCGUUAAGACAGAUGUGAAAUCCCCGGGCUAACCUGGGAACUGCAUUUGUGACUUGUACGGCUAGAGUGUGUCAGAGGGGGGUAGAAUUCCACGUGUAGCAGUGAAAUGCGUAGAGAUGUGGAGGAAUACCGAUGGCGAAGGCAGCCCCCUGGAUAACACUGACGCUCAUGCACGAAAGCGUGGGGAGCAAACAGG
rnacentral:rRNA from 1 species